rnacentral:rRNA from 1 species
AGAGUUUGAUCCUGGCUCAGGAUGAACGCUGGCGGCGUGCUUAACACAUGCAAGUCGAACGGACUUUUAUUGAAACCUGGUGAUAUGAAAGUUAGUGGCGGACGGGUGAGUAACGCGUGGGUAACCUGCCGUAUACAGGGGGAUAACACUUAGAAAUAGGUGCUAAAACCGCAUAAGCGCACAGCUUCGCAUGAAGCAGUGUGAAAAACUCCGGUGGUAUACGAUGGACCCGCGUCUGAUUAGCCAGUUGGCAGGGUAACGGCCUACCAAAGCGACGAUCAGUAGCCGGCCUGAGAGGGUGAACGGCCACAUUGGGACUGAGACACGGCCCAAACUCCUACGGGAGGCAGCAGUGGGGAAUAUUGCACAAUGGGGGAAACCCUGAUGCAGCGACGCCGCGUGAGUGAAGAAGUAUUUCGGUAUGUAAAGCUCUAUCAGCAGGGAAGAAAAUGACGGUACCUGAGAAAGAAGCCCCGGCUAACUACGUGCCAGCAGCCGCGGUAAUACGUAGGGGGCAAGCGUUAUCCGGAUUUACUGGGUGUAAAGGGAGCGUAGACGGUUGUGCAAGUCUGGAGUGAAAUGCGGGGGCUCAACCCCUGAACUGCUUUGGAAACUGUGUAACUGGAGUGCAGGAGAGGUAAGUGGAAUUCCUAGUGUAGCGGUGAAAUGCGUAGAUAUUAGGAGGAACACCAGUGGCGAAGGCGGCUUACUGGACUGUAACUGACGUUGAGGCUCGAAAGCGUGGGGAGCAAACAGGAUUAGAUACCCUGGUAGUCCACGCCGUAAACGAUGAUUACCAG